rnacentral:rRNA from 1 species
UACAGAGGUCUCAAGCGUUGUUCGGAUUCAUUGGGCGUAAAGGGUGCGUAGGUGGCGUCGUAAGUGGGGUGUGAAAUCCCGGGGCUUAACCCCGGGACUGCAUUCCAUACUGCGGUGCUUGAGGACUGGAGAGGAGACUGGAAUUUACGGUGUAGCAGUGAAAUGCGUAGAGAUCGUAAGGAAGACCAGUGGCGAAGGCGGGUCUCUGGACCGGUACUGACGCUGAUGCGCGAAAGCGUGGGGAGCAAACGGG